rnacentral:rRNA from 1 species
AUGGAGGGAUUGCUACACUGGGAUUUCUCGCCCGGCCUAGCGGUCGCGGCUCAGGUGCGUCGUCUCUAUGGCUCUACGGUCCAUUUCUUGUCCUCAGGCACGACCAAGGAGUUCUUCCUGGUUGUGAGUUUCUCUUUGGCGUGGUUUCCUCUCAAUGAAGAAUCGGUGGCAGUUGCUCUACAAUGUUGCAUUGGAGGUCUUCCUUCGGGGCUCCGUGUGGCUCAUCUUGAUGGGAGGAGAUUUAGGUUUUCGGUUGCCUCCAACAAAGUGGGACACUUCAUCUAUGGUCUCAAGGACAGGAUUUCGCCGGACUUUGUGUGCCACUUUAGUCUAUUCCGACCAGGUGUCCAUGCUCUGCCGAGGGCCACUAGUUGGCAUUGGGAUCAACACAACCCUGAGAUAAGUUCUCGUUCUCCGGUGGCCGUUAAAUCAAAGCUCUCGUUCUCUCAUAAAGAUGGGCUACCGGAUAACCAUUCUUUGCAUGCUCUUGAGAAAGCUGGUUUUUCCAUCAUUUCGAUCAGGCCGACGAGCCGGAGACCUCGUCGGCGGCAAAUCUCCGGCCUGCUCCGAGGCCCCAACAGGUCUGUUUGGAAAGUGCGGAAAUCGUGGAUCGGAUUGAUCAUUCAAAGCUUGAUUCAAUAUCUUUUGGAGAGUUUCAAUCAAAGAUUAAUGGCCCUCUUAAUGAUGACAUUAUUGCUAAUUGGCACUUUGAGGGUUCACAAUUCAAGCUGGCUAUCUGGCAUUCAUUACCGACUUUCAUCUUGCUUCAUAUAA